UGAAAGAGAACUCAGUCUUAGACCACCGCAUCCUGCGAUAACGACUGAGCGAUUAACAUCGUGUUGA
rnacentral:sRNA from 1 species